GUGUCAUGUUGCUGGUGUAUGGUGGGGAACACGGCACCGUUCUUGAAAGUGGAGGCCAAUGCACAUUAUAUUGUGGUGUAAUCAAGGUUAAGCCGAUUUGAAUGAAUUAUAUGCCAAUAGAAUAUAGAAGAAGCUUCACUAUUAGAGCGACAAGGAGGUGUCACAUUCUUAUCAUCCUUGCCUAGAAGAGAUUUGGGCAAAAAUAUGGCACUCUAUUUUGGGACUUCUGGUUUCCAUCAAGUUUGAGAGCUCAAUCGGUCCUCCAGGUAAGGUAGAUCGACUCAUCUUUUUUAGCUUAGUGAUUAUAUUUGUUUUGGAAAUUAUAUUUUAAUUAAGCAUUGAACAUUUUUGUGGCAGAACAUUUUAAACAUAGAUGGAGAAACGAGUAAUAUAAAUUUGAGCUCUUUUAUUUGGCUUCAUUCAUAUUUGUUGAGAACUUCCUUGCGUGUAUAGUGGUGUUGGAACUUCCAGAGAUGUGAACCAUCUAGGCUUCAUCUACGGAAGUGUUUUGGGGAUUUUCAUGAGUUAAGAACUCAAGAUUG